rnacentral:rRNA from 1 species
GGUUAAGCGACUAAGCGUACACGGUGGAUGCCUAGGCAGUCAGAGGCGAUGAAGGGCGUGCUAAUCUGCGAAAAGCGUCGGUAAGCUGAUAUGAAGCGUUACAACCGACGAUACCCGAAUGGGGAAACCCAGUGCAAUACGUUGCACUAUCGUUAGAUGAAUACAUAGUCUAACGAGGCGAACCGGGGGAACUGAAACAUCUAAGUACCCCGAGGAAAAGAAAUCAACCGAGAUUCCCCUAGUAGCGGCGAGCGAACGGGGAGGAGCCCAGAGUCUGAAUCAGUUUAUGUGUUAGUGGAAGCGUCUGGAAAGUCGCACGGUACAGGGUGAUAGUCCCGUACACAAAAAUGCAUAUUCUGUGAACUCGAUGAGUAGGGCGGGACACGUGACAUCCUGUCUGAAUAUGGGGGGACCAUCCUCCAAGGCUAAAUACUCCUGACUGACCGAUAGUGAACCAGUACCGUGAGGGAAAGGCGAAAAGAACCCCGGCGAGGGGAGUGAAAUAGAACCUGAAACCGUGUACGUACAAGCAGUGGGAGCACCUUCGUGGUGUGACUGCGUACCUUUUGUAUAAUGGGUCAGCGACUUAUAUUUUGUAGCAAGGUUAACCGAAUAGGGGAGCCGUAGGGAAACCGAGUCUUAACUGGGCGUCUAGUUGCAAGGUAUAGACCCGAAACCCGGUGAUCUAGCCAUGGGCAGGUUGAAGGUUGGGUAACACUAACUGGAGGACCGAACCGACUAAUGUUGAAAAAUUAGCGGAUGACUUGUGGCUGGGGGUGAAAGGCCAAUCAAACCGGGAGAUAGCUGGUUCUCCCCGAAAGCUAUUUAGGUAGCGCCUCGUGAACUCAUCUUCGGGGGUAGAGCACUGUUUCGGCUAGGGGUCCAUCCCGGAUUACCAAACCGAUGCAAACUCCGAAUACCGAAGAAUGUUAUCACGGGAGACACACGGCGGGUGCUAACGUCCGUCGUGAAGAGGGAAACAACCCAGACCGCCAGCUAAGGUCCCAAAGUCAUGGUUAAGUGGGAAACGAUGUGGGAAGGCAUAGACAGCCAGGAUGUUGGCUUAGAAGCAGCCAUCAUUUAAAGAAAGCGUAAUAGCUCACUGGUCGAGUCGGCCUGCGCGGAAGAUGUAACGGGGCUAAACCAUGCACCGAAGCUGCGGCAGCGACGCUUAGGCGUUGUUGGGUAGGGGAGCGUUCUGUAAGCCGUUGAAGGU